GCCCCAUGUGCUCUGCAGUGAUGAGAUCCGUAUGGGUGACAAUAAAUUAAUUAUAAUGUCACACAGUGAAAGAUUCAUGUCGCGUCUCUCUCUUCAUGAACUGAAAGAAUUUGCAGUCUUGCAAUCAUAGAUCAUUAAUAUACACUACAUCAUGUGCCUACAGAGUGCCGUCCAAGGAAAGGCUGACGAAUAAGAGAGACAUCAGCACUGUUUUUCUGAGGACAAUGGAUCCAAAAAAAGAAAAGAAAAGAGAAAAAGAAGGGCUGGAUUCACGGAUUGUCAAGUUCUGCCGUGCGAGUCAGCCACGUCUUCUUCUCAUUCCGUCAUUCACAGCACAGGAGCACCUGAACAGGCACCAGCUGGCAGAGUGAGAGAUGGCUCCACUGCCAAGGAGAGGAGACUUGAUGGAAGCCCGGAUUCAUUAAAACUUAAUUAAUAUGCAUCAUUAUGUAAAUGAGGUUGCAGUUAAUGAGUUUUUAAAAGAAGCAUUCCUUAAUUAGUUCACUUUUAAUGGCAUCAUCAUUUAUCUUUUUCUUCUUUGAAGCAGAAUGAUGCGCUCGAUGCGAAGCGGUUCUAAAAUGCUAAUCUAUGUUUUAUCAUUUUAUUUUUCUGAUUUCAAUGUGAUCGCCAAGACAUCCAGAAUCUUGUCACUAAUGAGCCACGUUUGUGUUAUAAUGUCACUUAUUUCAAUUUAAGAUUAUGCAAAUUUUCAAAGUAGUGAAGAAAUUCACAAAACGGAAUAUCCUUUAAAAUCAUAUAGAAUUUACUAAUUAAAAACCAAUAAAAAAAAAGUGUUUUGCCCACAGGAAGUUAAACUAUCACCUUUAGCUACUUGAAAACUCAAUCUUUUUUUUCUCCAAUUGGGGAAAAAAUAAAUUAUCUCAGCCAUUUUCUUUCCCAGAGAAGAAAACACUGAGUAGGUGUCAGAAGACAAAACCAGUCGACUUCUGACAAUGUCACACCUCUAGAUAAUUGGCCCUCGAUACUUCCUGUUAAAAGCAUGCAAACUUCCUGUUUUAGAAAGGUCCCAAUAAAAACUUUCUUCACAGUGUUGCACCUCAGCCAACACCAUAUAUUUCUUUAUUUAUUCUCUGUUAUGCCUAUUCAUUCCCCCUUCCCCCCCCCCACAAACACACACAUACACACAUAAACACACUGACACACACAGCUAUUAAAAUGUUAGGAAAUACUGCAAAAUGCAUUUUGACCUGGUUAUAAUGAUGAAAAUAGAAAAUGUACAAGUUAAAUAAAAUUAUAAUGACAAUAAUAGUAAAUUGCUUCGUGCUUUUAUUUUAUUUUAUCAAGUAAUAUGUAUAGUUUUGAUAUUUUGUUAAUGCUGUUUGUUUACGUGAAAAUAAAGAGUCCAAUAUCCAAAUACA
ensembl:lncRNA